UGAUGUCCAAAGGGGUCUCCUUUCCCAUAAGUUUGAUUCUAAUUCCUACCGCGGUGAUGUUAAAUUGGGGUGAAACGUCAUCAUAGCAGCUUUGACUGGCAGCUGCAGUCACGGAGAAACUUGCGUAUCUCUGUUCGGGAAUAGCAGAUAGAACGUAGGCUCUGAGAGGAGGGCCAGCAUUUACUCUACGAAAACAUGACCGAGUGUUUUAACCUGACAGCCUGAGGUGUUCUUCAGUAAACUGGACUACCCGACAGAAGGACCCGAGGCCCCGCUGCACUUUUUCGGAUGCAGCAGCAGA